AGCGAACGCUGGCGGCAGGCUUAACACAUGCAAGUCGAACGGGCGUAGCAAUACGUCAGUGGCAGACGGGUGAGUAACGCGUGGGAACGUACCUAUUGGUUCGGAACAACUGAGGGAAACUUCAGCUAAUACCGAAUAAGCCCUUACGGGGAAAGAUUUAUCGCCGAAAGAUCGGCCCGCGUCUGAUUAGCUUGUUGGUGAGGUAACGGCUCACCAAGGCGCCGAUCAGUAGCUGGUCUGGGAGGAUGAUCAGCCACAUUGGGACUGAGACACGGCCCAAACUCCUACGGGAGGCAGCAGUGGGGAAUAUUGGACAAUGGGCGAAAGCCUGAUCCAGCCAUGCCGCGUGAGUGAUGAAGGCCCUAGGGUUGUAAAGCUCUUUUGUGCGGGAAGAUAAUGACGGUACCGCAAGAAUAAGCCCCGGCUAACUUCGUGCCAGCCGCCGCCGUAACAC
rnacentral:rRNA from 1 species